rnacentral:rRNA from 1 species
GAUGAACGCUAGCGGCAGGCUUAACACAUGCAAGUCGAGGGGCAGCGCGGGAUAGCAAUAUCCUGGCGGCGACCGGCGGAAGGGUGCGUAACGCGUGAGCGACAUGCCCGUUGCCCGGGGACAACCGGUGGAAACGCCGACUAAUCCCCGAUGGGAUAUUGUGCCGCAUGGCACGAUAUUGAAAGUUACGGCGGCGACGGAUUGGCUCGCGUCCGAUUAGCUUGUUGGCGGGGUAACGGCCCACCAAGGCUGCGAUCGGUAGGGGUUCUGAGAGGAAGGCCCCCCACAAUGGGACUGAGACACGGCCCAUACUCCUACGGGAGGCAGCAGUGAGGAAUAUUGGUCAAUGGGCGGAAGCCUGAACCAGCCAUGCCGCGUGCGGGAAAGAGGCCCUAUGGGCUGUGAACCGCUUUUGCCUGGGGGCAAUAAGGGCGUCGCGCACGUCCGAUGAGAGUACCAGGCGAAUAAGCAUCGGCUAACUCCGUG